rnacentral:rRNA from 1 species
GACGAACGCUGGCGGCGUGCCUAAUACAUGCAAGUAGAACGCUGAAGAGAGGAGCUUGCUCUUCUUGGAUGAGUUGCGAACGGGUGAGUAACGCGUAGGUAACCUGCCUUGUAGCGGGGGAUAACUAUUGGAAACGAUAGCUAAUACCGCAUAACAAUGGAUGACACAUGUCAUUUAUUUGAAAGGGGCAAUUGCUCCACUACAAGAUGGACCUGCGUUGUAUUAGCUAGUAGGUGAGGUAAUGGCUCACCUAGGCGACGAUACAUAGCCGACAUGAGAGGGUGAUCGGCCACACUGGGACUGCGACACGGCCCAGACUCCUGCGGGAGGCAGCAGUAGGGAAUCUUCGGCAAUGGGGGCAACCCUGACCGAGCAACGCCGCGUGAGUGAAGAAGGUUUUCGGAUCGUAAAGCUCUGUUGUAAGUCAAGAACGGGUGUGAGAGUGGAAAGUUCACACUGUGACGGUAGCUUACCAGAAAGGGACGGCUAACUACGU